rnacentral:rRNA from 1 species
AUUGAACGCUGGCGGCAGGCCUAACACAUGCAAGUCGAACGAGUGGCGGACGGGUGAGUAAUGUCUGGGAAACUGCCAGAUGGAGGGGGAUAACUACUGGAAACAGUAGCUAAUACCGCAUAAACUCGUAAGUGCCCAGAUGGGAGUAGCUAGGAGGUGGGGUACCGGCUCACCUAGGCGACGAUCCCUAGCUGGUCUGAGAGGAUAACCAGCCACACUGGAACUGAGACACGGUCCAGACUCCUACGGGAGGCAGCAGUGGGGAAUAUUGCACAAUGGGCGCAAGCCUGAUACAGCCAUGCCGCGUGUAUGAAGAAGGCCUUCGGGUUGUAAAGUACUUUCAGCGAGGAGGCGUUACUCGCAGAAGAAGCACCGGCUAACUCCGUGCCAGCAGCCGCGGUAAUUC